UACGGAGGGAGCUAGCGUUGUUCGGAAUUACUGGGCGUAAAGGGCGCGUAGGCGGCACUGUUAGUCAGGCGUGAAAUUCCUGGGCUCAACCUGGGGACUGCGCUUGAUACGGCAGAGCUUGAGGAUGGAAGAGGGUCGCGGAAUUCCCAGUGUAGAGGUGAAAUUCGUAGAUAUUGGGAGGAACACCGGUGGCGAAGGCGGCCCCCUGGACCGGUACUGACGCUGAGGUGCGAAAGCGUGGGGAGCAAACAGG
rnacentral:rRNA from 1 species